CUGUAUCAUUCUGUCACAUCCACUUUAACCCCAAACAAAACACUGCCCAAACGAGAGAACCAGGCGUCAUGUCCCGCGGCCGCGCCCCGCGGUGGAGCGGUCCGGUCCCUCGGGGAGGGAUCCGUUGAGGGUUUCAGGCCCUCCGGACUCCGGUUGGUUGGUGGUGGCCAACCGCGGCGACGUGAGUGGAGGUGAUGCCCCACCUUCCGCUGUGUGUUCGUCCGUCUUCGCGAGAAUCGCAUUCGCAGAGCCGUAGGCCGCCAACGCUCCGGCUCACCCACCGUGCAGGGUCAUACUCAUACACAUCCGUAUGCAGUGGUGGCAUUAUAAUAAGGGGAAACGGUGGGUACGGAACCGUGCAUACGGUACAUGACAUGCUUUUGGUCACUUUUAGAGAAAGGUUGUUGCAGUUGUUACUCCGAGCUUCUCUCCUUCCGACGGCUAUAUAGCCCAGUCCGGUCAGUAAGAUGGCAACCGGAAAUUCCCACGGCUCCCCGUCCCGCAAAUGUUCAUGGCACUUUUUGUCUUAUUCUCGUCCCGUCGUGCAAUUUAUCCUCACGGUAAAUCUAUCCCAAUUAGUAAAUACAAUA
rnacentral:lncRNA from 7 species